UACGUAGGGGGCUAGCGUUGUCCGGAAUCAUUGGGCGUAAAGCGCGUGUAGGCGGUCCGGUAAGUCCGCUGUGAAAGUCGGGGGCUCAACCCUCGAAAGCCGGUGGAAACUGUCGGGCUAGAGUGCGGAAGAGGCGAGUGGAAUUCCUGGUGUAGCGGUGGAAUGCGCAGAUAUCAGGAGGAACACCAAUAGCGAAGGCAGCUCGCUGGGACGGUACUGACGCUGAGGCGCGAAAGCGUGGGGAGCGAACAGG
rnacentral:rRNA from 1 species